rnacentral:rRNA from 1 species
ACAAUGGAGAGUUUGAUCCUGGCUCAGGAUGAACGCUAGCUACAGGCUUAACACAUGCAAGUCGAGGGGAAACGAUAGAGAAAGCUUGCUUUUUCUAGGCGUCGACCGGCGCACGGGUGAGUAACGCGUAUCCAACCUGCCCAUCACUUGGGAAUAACCUUGCGAAAGUAAGACUAAUGCCCAAUGAUAUCUCUAGAAGACAUCUGAAGGAGAUUAAAGAUUUAUCGGUGAUGGAUGGGGAUGCGUCUGAUUAGCUUGUUGGCGGGGUAACGGCCCACCAAGGCGACGAUCAGUAGGGGUUCUGAGAGGAAGGUCCCCCACAUUGGAACUGAGACACG